CCGCAGGGAGGGACUGUGGCGCAGCCCGAGCCGUGGGUGGCCUGAGGUAAAGACACUUGGAGGGGUCGGGCUGUGUCCAGCGUUGCUGGAUUUCUGCUGUGGAGUCACUCAUUGAAGCAGGAGGGCAAGGAGUUACUGGAAAUGCCAAAAAAGAGCACUGAUGACCAGAUGGCAUCUUGGGACCAGGCAGGGGGAUGAUCUCUGCGUUAGAAAACCACAACUGGACUCAUCUGUGGAGCAUGCAGGGCCCCACAUUACUCAGCACUGACUCCCAAGAUGCUGAACAGUGGUGACCAGGAACACGCGACUGUCGAGUCAGCUGAGACGUGUGAAGGCUCACCCGUCCGAACACACGUCCAGCUUUGCUGCGGAUCAGUUCCAGGCUGUCGGGGUUCUUCUUCUGAGGCAUCAGGCUGCUCCCAGUGCUGAAAAAAAGGUGUUUGGACUCUAACACGCUCAGAAUCACGGGUCAGUGCAACAGCAUGGCUAGGAAGAAAACAUCAAGACAGAUGAAGCACCUGAGGUCAGAAAAAGUCACAAGGACCAAGAGGCAACUCUGGCAAAAGGAUGCAGUUGGCAUUUGCUGCCCACUCAGUGCUUGCGCCACCCAGGAACACAGGGAGAGCCUGUUCCAGUUUGCAAGAAGACCCUGCUGCUGCCCUGGUUGGUGUCAGUCAGAGAGCAAGCCUGGAAGUCUCCUGCCCCUGCAAGGCCAAGGCUGUGGAUACGGAAAAGGACUUACAUGGCAGCGCGUUCCACCAGGGUCUUAAUGAGCUGCAGGAGUGUGCAGCUUUCCAGCUAUGUCGCCAAUCAGCUCCUGAGGACAAGAGGAGGAUUUCUAUCAGUGUCUCUUUACUCUAAGGAGGAAACUGCACGAGCAGAUCUCCUCCUUGCCUGGAAGGGACUCAGCUCUAGGAUCCUCUACCGUGGACAGCAAGAACCUGGCCCAACAGUUUGCAAACUUAUCUGUGCCAGGGCUUCGUUACCCAGACAAAGCACUGUUGAGUAACCUUAGAAACACCAGUCACUUUCCCUAGUGACCGUCUCCACGCGUCUGCCGAUCCCCGCUGAACCAACACGCCUGAGAGGACAGCAGGAGAGAGCCUACAGAGGACACCUCCGAGACCACCCCGCCGGAGAAGCAAAGUUCAUCCUCACCUCGGCUGCCAUUUCGGACGACGUUUGUGCAGCGAUCCCGACAACCGGUGCAACCUGUGGAACAGCGGGGUGAGGUCCUUGUUGUAGGUGCUUGGAAGUCCUUUGAGAACCAUGAGAAUAGCAGCCAACUGGAGAGAGAAAGAGGCUCACCCGUCCGAACACACGGCCAGCUUUGCUGCGGAUCAGUUCCAGACUGUCGGGGUUCUUCUUCUGAGGCAUCACGCUGCUGCCAGCGCUGAAAGAAAGUGUUUGGAGUGUAACAGAGAGUAAGACCCCUGUCUUACAGACAUGGGAUAAGACAGGGGAUGCAACAUACUGGUACAGCCCUCCAAAGGUGAGAUAUACGUCCCUGUACCCUGGACACCUUUCUAGGGUGUAGGAAAACUGAGUGUGUGGAAUUUCUCAUGUUUCUCAAAACAGAGCCUUUGCUUUUGCAGUCUUUACUAGAGCCAUCACACAGCUCCACCUCUCAAAGAGGAAGCAAAAUGGAGGUUUGCCUCCAAGCCCGUCCAGUGUUGGUAUUAACAGGGCAGCCAAAGUGUUGGUGUGGCCUCAGAGAGGGAGGGCUGUGAUUGUGCCAGAGACAGGAAGUCUGUUAGGAUUGCAAAUCCGGCUGGUCAAGGGAGGGCUUUGGCUGGCAUUCCCAGCAGAGGAGGAAGUUGUCUCUGCCAGCACUUGCUGGGGAGGAGUGUCUGCUGAAUGCAUGCUUAGUUGAGUUACCAGAAUCAGAAAGAAGUGGUUAUUACUGAAGAAUAUUCACCCUUAAGGCUGCUUUGCUGCCAGCUUUCUAAUGCUGUGUCAGCAGGGAGACCCCAACCACUGUCUCCAUUCUCCCAGGUGAGAAAAGCUGAGGAGAAUUACUCCCCAGCAUCCAGAAACC